AGUGAGCGCUGGCGGUAGGCCUAACACAUGCAAGUCGAACGGCAGCACAGUAAGAGCUUGCUCUUACGGGUGGCGAGUGGCGGACGGGUGAGGAAUACAUCGGAAUCUACUUUUUCGUGGGGGAUAACGUAGGGAAACUUACGCUAAUACCGCAUACGACCUACGGGUGAAAGCAGGGGAUCUUCGGACCUUGCGCGAUUGAAUGAGCCGAUGUCGGAUUAGCUAGUUGGCGGGGUAAAGGCCCACCAAGGCGACGAUCCGUAGCUGGUCUGAGAGGAUGAUCAGCCACACUGGAACUGAGACACGGUCCAGACUCCUACGGGAGGCAGCAGUGGGGAAUAUUGGACAAUGGGCGCAAGCCUGAUCCAGCCAUACCGCGUGGGUGAAGAAGGCCUUCGGGUUGUAAAGCCCUUUUGUUGGGAAAGAAAAGCAGCAGGUUAAUACCCCGCUGUUCUGACGGUACCCAAAGAAUAAGCACCGGCUAGCUUCGUG
rnacentral:rRNA from 1 species